rnacentral:rRNA from 1 species
CCUACGGGGGGCAGCAGUGAGGAAUAUUGGUCAAUGGACGAGAGUCUGAACCAGCCAAGUAGCGUGAAGGAUGACUGCCCUAUGGGUUGUAAACUUCUUUUAUAUGGGAAUAAAAUGUUCCACGUGUGUGAUUUUGUAUGUACCAUAUGAAUAAGGAUCGGCUAACUCCGUGCCAGCAGCCGCGGUAAUACGGAGGAUCCGAGCGUUAUCCGGAUUUAUUGGGUUUAAAGGGAGCGUAGGUGGAUUGUUAAGUCAGUUGUGAAAGUUUGCGGCUCAACCGUAAAAUUGCAGUUGAAACUGGCAGUCUUGAGUACAGUAGAGGUGGGCGGAAUUCGUGGUGUAGCGGUGAAAUGCUUAGAUAUCACGAAGAACUCCGAUUGCGAAGGCAGUUCACUGGACUGCAACUGACACUGAGGCUCGAAAGUGUGGGUAUCAAACAGGAUUAGAUACCCGUGUAGUC